CUGGCGGCAGGCUUAACACAUGCAAGUCGAACGCCCCGCAAGGGGAGUGGCAGACGGGUGAGUAACGCGUGGGAACAUACCCUUUCCUGCGGAAUAGCUCCGGGAAACUGGAAUUAAUACCGCAUACGCCCUACGGGGGAAAGAUUUAUCGGGGAAGGAUUGGCCCGCGUUGGAUUAGCUAGUUGGUGGGGUAAAGGCCUACCAAGGCGACGAUCCAUAGCUGGUCUGAGAGGAUGAUCAGCCACAUUGGGACUGAGACACGGCCCAAACUCCUACGGGAGGCAGCAGUGGGGAAUAUUGGACAAUGGGCGCAAGCCUGAUCCAGCCAUGCCGCGUGAGUGAUGAAGGCCUUAGGGUUGUAAAGCUCUUUCACCGGAGAAGAUAAUGACGGUAUCCGGAGAAGAAGCCCCGGCUAACUUCGUGCCAGCAG
rnacentral:rRNA from 1 species